GAUGAAGAACGUAGCGAAAUGCGAUAAGUAAUGUGAAUUGCAGAAUUCAGUGAAUCAUCGAAUCUUUGAACGCACAUUGCGCCCCUUGGUAUUCCGAGGGGCAUGCCUGUUCGAGCGUCAUAUUAACCACUCCCGCUUGCGGGGUCUUGGGCUUCGCCUCCGGGCGGGGCUUAAAAUCAGUGGCGGUGCCGUCGGGCUCUACGCGUAGUAAAUUUUCUCGCGAUAGGGUCCCGGUGGAUGCUUGCCAACAACCCCCAACUUCUUAAGGUUGACCUCGGAUCAGGUAGGGAUACCCGCUGAACUUAAGCAUAUCAAUAAGCGGAGGA
rnacentral:misc_RNA from 1 species